UUAUCGUUUUUAUUAGGGUUCCGUAGCCAAAUGGCAAAAAACGGAACCCUUAUAGAUUCGUCAUGUCCGUCUGUCUAUCGAAUGGUAUUUAUCGUUUUUAUUAGGGUUCCGUAGCCAAAUGGCAAAAAACGGAACCCUUAUAGAUUCGUCAUGUCCGUCUGUCUGUCUGUCUGUCUGUCCCCACUUUUUUCCGAAACUAUAAGAACUAUACUGUUCAAACUUGGUAAGUAGAUGUAUUCU